rnacentral:rRNA from 1 species
CGAAAGCCUGACGGAGCAAUACCGCGUGAGGGAGGAAGGCUUUUGGGUUGUAAACCUCUUUUGUUAAGGAAGAGGAAGGUGACGGUACUUAACGAAUCAGCAUCGGCUAACUCCGUGCCAGCAGCCGCGGUAAUACGGAGGAUGCAAGCGUUAUCCGGAAUUAUUGGGCGUAAAGCGUCCGCAGGCGGCCGAUCAAGUCUGCUGUCAAAGACAGAAGCUUAACUUCUGAAAGGCAGUGGAAACUGGAGAGCUAGAGUACGGUAGGGGUUGAGGGAAUUCCCAGUGUAGCGGUGAAAUGCGUAGAUAUUGGGAAGAACACCAGUGGCGAAGGCGCUCAACUGGGCCGUAACUGACACUCAGGGGCGAAAGCUAGGGGAGCG